AUGAAUCAGAAAGUCAAGAGGUUCAUCGAUUGGAGACGUGACAUGUAUGACUUAGUCUCAUGUGCGUUGCUUAGCAAAGAGUGAAGACUGGGUUUGCAAUCAUAAAAAAAAAAAGACUGGGUUUGCCAAGAAAGGGUGGGAAACGAUAAGCAUGCGAACUUCUUUAAGUUUACUAGGGUUAACAUUCGGAUUAAAGUAAAGAAGAGGUUAGUAAGGAUAAGGAUGAAAAGCAAGCGAUCGAUCAAGAAUGAAGUAGAAAGAGAGAUACAGCAGAUUCUUGUGAGCUGGCAUGCGCGUGAUCUGGAACGGAUUCCUUUGUAUAUAUAUAUGCUAAGCUUUUGAGUUGUUUAAACAUGGGUU
rnacentral:lncRNA from 1 species